rnacentral:rRNA from 1 species
CCCUACGGGGGACAGCAGUGGGGAAUAUUGCACAAUGGGGGAAACCCUGAUGCAGCGACGCCGCGUGAGUGAAGAAGUAUUUCGGUAUGUAAAGCUCUAUCAGCAGGGAAGAAAUACUGACCUUACGGUCAGCAGACGGUACCUGACUAAGAAGCCCCGGCUAACUACGUGCCAGCAGCCGCGGUAAUACGUAGGGGGCAAGCGUUAUCCGGAUUUACUGGGUGUAAAGGGAGCGUAGACGGCAUUGCAUGUCUGAUGUGAAAGAUUGGGGCUCAACCCCAGGCCUGCAUUGGACACUGGAAAGC